UGCGGUGGUUUUGAUAUGACCGGCCGUGGCUGUCACCAGCCACUGACGUUUGCGGAACCUGCGGAAGGAUCAUUAAA
rnacentral:rRNA from 1 species